GACGAACGCUGGCGGCGUGCUUAACACAUGCAAGUCACGGGGGUCUCGGGGCAACUCGGGAUAACCGGCGAACGGGUGCGUAACACGUAAGCGACCUGCCGAUUCGCGGGGGGAUAGCCGGCCCAACGGCCGGGUAAUACCGCAUACGCUUGCUGGGUUUCAUGGCCGGGCAAGGAAACCUCCGGGGAACCGGGUGGGGCGGAUCGAGGGGCUUGCGGCCUAUCAGCUAGUUGGUGAGGUAACGGCUCACCAAGGCGGUGACGGGUAGCUGGUCUGAGAGGAUGGCCAGCCACAUUGGGACUGAGAGACGGCCCAGACUCCUACGGGAGGCAGCAGUGGGGAAUCUUGCGCAAUGGGCGAAAGCCUGACGCAGCGACGCCGCGUGGGGAUGACGCAUUUCGGUGUGUAAACCCCUGUUGCCCGGGACGAAUCGCCUUUUCGUAGAGGUUUGACGGGUACCGGGUGAGGAAGCACCGGCUAACUCUGUGCCAGCA
rnacentral:rRNA from 1 species